AUCACGAGGGUCUCUAUUGUGCCAUUUUCUGUUUACGCAGUACUCAUAUGACGAUUGUAAAUUACAUUUAAGUGGCUAUCUCUUCACAUUAGGAAAUUCAGUCGCGCACCCUAGGUACCCCCUACAAACAUGACAGCCUCCUCCACUGAAAAGAAAACAACUUUUUGACAGAAAUAUCAGAAUUAAGAAUGAAAGCUAUUUCUUUGGUUUCUAUGACAACAUAGAGGGUUGUUGAGUGUAGACACAGUUAAAGUGGUUUCCUUGAUUGAUUUGCUUUAUAAUUUAGGUCAAUGUGAUGAGUAUUUUUAGUUUGCUAAUUGCCUGCAAAGCGAGCGACUCUGUGUAAUUUGUAGUAUUAAAUAGGCCAAGUAAGGACCUAUCGAUCAAAUGAUCAUGUGAAUAAUGAUAUACCUGUAUUCUUUCCACGCGCAGACAAACGCGCUGUGCAAUUGUAACACGACUGACACUUGGAAUGUAGCCUUUCUCCCGUUGAUCGAUAUACAUCCUGCUAUAUUUCCCAGAGGAAUUGCUGCGGCCAACGCGGUACAGACACUGGUUGUUGAAAUCUGGCACCAGUCUCAGGCUAGAGCAGUUAUUACAAAUGUCAACGGUAACGAUUGUCAACCCCGACACCUUCACUCACCACAUAAGGGUGGCGUGUCGGCCAUCUUGCUGCCCUUUAGCUCGGAGGAUUUCGUUAUCGUCUGAUCGCGUCUGCGCUCAGCUGCUUCCACUCUGCAGAGAGUUAGCGAAUGAGGAGUAUGGCGGCAGCCGGUUAUGGUGGCCACUACAGCAUUCUAGCAUCGGGCUUACAGGUCAACGGGGCACAUUGUAACGAGCCGAGCAGGUCUGUGUAUCCCAGUCAGGAGCAGCUGUGGACUGGGGAGUAGAGAGGAGGAGCGCAGCGAGCGAUGGGAGCUCCAUGUCUCCCCGCUCUUCCAACACCCUCACCCUGAGAUUAAGCUCCGCCUCUCUACGGAGGAGGAGAUGGCGUCCUCCGGGGCCAGGGAAUUCCACCCAUAGUCACCGGCGCCAGCGUCUAGACAGCGGAGGGGGAUUCAUCUUCAGGCAGCCUGGGAUCUACUGUCCCCAUGAAGAAUGGUGAUGGUGUCUAAUCCCCAAAUGUGUUGUCAAGAAAUGUUUGGUUUUUCAUUUUUGUUACUCGUCUCUGCUGAUUUGAAUAUGAGUUGAAUUUGUUGAACUUGUAGAUUGUUUAUUGUGGCUGGUCGAUAAUGUUAAGACCAGGAAUACAAUUUCUUGCAUUUUAAAUGCCUAAGCCACCAGAGCAUUAAGAAAUUAUGCUAGAUGAUAAAAAGGCCUAUAAAAAUAGUUUUAAGGAAAGAAAUGUAGUGGUUGGCUGUGGAUGAAGGGGUAAACAACGUGACUUUGAUAUAGAUGUUGCUUUGGCAUACUUACAAAACAAAAAUAAUUACAACUCAAUUUGUUUCAUAUUAUAAUAUAAAUAUAUAUGUCUAUGUAUUCAUGCUCAACGUUAACUGUCUACACUGCUUCACAAAGGCAAGCCUUUCAGCUCAGCCUCACCCCAUAUCAUACUUAAAGCUAAAAGUCUAUAGUCUCCCUCAGCAAACAGAGGAGAUGUUCCUCUCCAUUACGUCUAAGACAGAUUGAUGACUCCCCAGAUGCCUGAGGGGCUCACAAGGUGCAGAAACAUAAAAACAAACUAGAUCCUCCAUUUCCAUAAAGCACAGAGAAUGUAAAUUAUUUAAAUGAAAAUCAUUUAAAUUGCUCUAAAUAUCUAAAUAAGUUAUUAAAGUUAUUUAGAUGUUAACUGCUCGGCUAAUGAGCUGAAUAUUGCUUCCUCUUGAGCAUGAAACAGAGGAAGUUUUCCCCUGUAAAACUUUAUUUGACGAUGGUCUUAUUCCAGUAGGGAUGACCCUGCCUGUAAUAAUUAAUUUCUGUUAUUUGUUCGGACCCGUGCACGGCCUCACGUUGAGGCGUAUAAAAACCACAAAUCUAAUAUAUCUGGCGCUCCCUGGUCAGCCAACGUUAAAACACACUUUAAAGCCAACAUAACACAUUGUCCAGCAAAAUAUAAACAGCUAAGAGAUGUAGACAAUUAAAAUAUGUUCUUACAAAAACCAUAAGACAAAGUCAGGCGUGAAAAAAGCUGAGGAUAUACAGUUUGUUCCUCCUUAACAGUUUACUAGUCAUGUAUCCCCUACUGAAUAUGGGUUAUUCAUAAUAAACACAUAAUGCUGCGUUACUAUUGGCCCUAAAAAAUGUUGCUCUAAUCUGAUUGGAUACUGAGUCUGUGAGAAACUGGAUGUAAGGGUCAGUUGAUGCUUGCACUGCUUAAUUAGAGCCACGAAGAAUCCAUGGUAUGAGUCUGUAAUAAACCAGAUGAAUUUAUUCAAA